AAAAUAGAUACCCCUGGUAGUCCACGCUGUAAACGAUGAUUACUGGUUGUUAGCGAUAUAUAGCUAGUGACUGAGCGAAAGCAUUAAGUAAUCCACCUGGGGAGUACGUCGGCAACGAUGAAACUCAAAGGAAUUGACGGGGGCCCGCACAAGCGGAGGAACAUGUGGUUUAAUUCGAUGAUACGCGAGGAACCUUACCUGGGUUUAAAUGGGGAGUGACAGGUGUCGAAAGAUGCUUUUUCCUUCGGGACACUCUUCAAGGUGCUGCAUGGUUGUCGUCAGCUCGUGCCGUGAGGUGUCGGGUUAAGUCCCAUAACGAGCGCAACCCUUGCCGAUAGUUGCCAUCACGUAAAGGUGGGCACUCUAUCGGGACUGCCGGUGUAAACCGUGAGGAAGGUGGGGAUGACGUCAAAUCAGCACGGCCCUUACAUCCAGGGCUACACACGUGUUACAAUGGCCAGUACAGAGGGCCGCUACCCCGCGAGGGGAUGCCAAUCUCGAAAGCUGGUCUCAGUUCGGAUUGAAGUCUGGAACCCGACUUC
rnacentral:rRNA from 1 species